UACGGAGGGUCCAAGCGUUAUCCGGAAUCAUUGGGUUUAAAGGGUCCGUAGGCGGUUUUGUAAGUCAGUGGUGAAAGCCCAUCGCUCAACGGUGGAACGGCCAUUGAUACUGCAAGACUUGAAUUAUUAGGAAGUAACUAGAAUAUGUAGUGUAGCGGUGAAAUGCUUAGAGAUUACAUGGAAUACCAAUUACGAAGGCAGGUUACUACUAAUGGAUUGACGCUGAUGGACGAAAAGCGUGGGGGAGCGAACAGG
rnacentral:rRNA from 1 species